GCACUUGAAAUGGUGUCUAAAGAUUCAAAAUUGAUGUGCGCCUCGGCUUGUAAAUUUGAACCACAUUGUGUAGCUUUUGCUUUUCAUCGACAAAGAAAGGAAUGUCAUCUUUAUACCAGAAAUGUGGAAGAACUGGGAAGUGAUCCCGACCCUGGAAUGAAUGUUUUCAUGGUGAAUACAGAUGGGAGCAAUGUUGCCAGUCUAAAACCGCCAUCAACAAGUUCUGUUGGUGGUCUACAAGCAAUGUCAGCAGCUCUAGAUAACAACCCAAAUACCUGUUUUCAAACACAGAAAGACGAUUAUCAACCCUGGUUCCUUGUUGAUUUGAUGAAAACAUUUCUAAUUCGUUUUAUAUUGGUGUACAACGAGGAUGUGUAUCCUGAACGCCUCCAUGACGUUAAUUAUGAGGUCUAUGAUUCUGAUCUAACGGUAAACAACUCUUCAGAAGGUAAUUGUUGUGCUUCAGUGGCUGAUUACAAUACAGGUAAAAACAUCAUCA